rnacentral:misc_RNA from 1 species
AACGCAAAUUGCACUCUCCGGUUUUCCGGGAGAGUAUGCCUGUUUGAGGGUCAGCCUAAAAAAAAUCGACGUUGUUGCUGUUUAUUUCAAUGGUGACUUUUCGUCGGAGAUUGGGUUAUCUUAAAGACCCCCUUUUGGGUCUUUAAGCGACUUAAAAUUUUUUUCUUACACGAUUCCGUGAACGUUUCUAAGAUGUUUAUUUCUUUCAUACGUUUAAGGUUAUCGAUCAUUAAAAAUUAGACGUGGCCGUCGCAUCGGAUCGCGUCCAUAAUAAGACUUUCGUUAACUGACCUCAGACAGGUAAGAGUACCCGCUGAACUUAA